rnacentral:rRNA from 1 species
GACGAACGCUGGCGGCGUGCCUAAUACAUGCCAGUUGAGCGCUGAAGGUUGGUACUUGUACCAACUGGAUGAGCAGCGAACGGGUGAGUAACGCGUGGGGAAUCUGCCUUUGAGCGGGGGACAACAUUUGGAAACGAAUGCUAAUACCGCAUAAAAACUUUAAACACAAGUUUUAAGUUUGAAAGAUGCAAUUGCAUCACUCAAAGAUGAUCCCGCGUUGUAUUAGCUAGUUGGUGAGGUAAAGGCUCACCAAGGCGAUGAUACAUAGCCGACCUGGGAGGGUGGUCGGCCACAAUGGGACUGAGACACGGCCCAAACUCCUACGGGAGGCAGCAGUAGGGAAUCUUCGGCAAUGGACGAAAGUCUGACCGAGCAACGCCGCGUGAGUGAAGAAGGUUUUCGGAUCGUAAAACUCUGUUGGUAGAGAAGAACGUUGGUGAGAGUGGAAAGCGCAUCAAGUGACGGUAACUACCCAGAAAGGGACGGCUAACUACGUG